AUUGAACGCUGGCGGCAGGCCUAACACAUGCAAGUCGAACGGUAACAGGGAUCAGCUUGCUGAUUCGCUGACGAGUGGCGGACGGGUGAGUAAUGUCUGGGAAACUGCCUGAUGGAGGGGGAUAACUACUGGAAACGGUAGCUAAUACCGCAUAACGUCGCAAGACCAAAGAGGGGGACGUUCGGGCCUCUUGCCAUCGGAUGUGCCCAGAUGGGAUCAGCUAGUAGGUGGGGUAACGGCUCACCUAGGCGACGAUCCCUAGCUGGUCUGAGAGGAUGACCAGCCACACUGGAACUGAGACACGGUCCAGACUCCUACGGGAGGCAGCAGUGGGGAAUAUUGCACAAUGGGCGCAAGCCUGAUGCAGCCAUGCCGCGUGUAUGAAGAAGGCCUUCGGGUUGUAAAGUACUUUCAGCGGGGAGGAAGGGAGUAAAGUUAAUACCUUUGCUCAUUGACGUUACCCGCAGAAGAAGCACCGGCUAACUCCGUG
rnacentral:rRNA from 1 species